rnacentral:rRNA from 1 species
UACAGAGGUCUCAAGCGUUUGUUCGGAUUCAUUGGGCGUAAAGGGUGCGUAGGCGGCGCGGUAAGUCGGGUGUGAAAUCUCGGGGCUUAACUCCGAAACUGCAUUCGAUACUGCCGUGCUUGAGGACUGGAGAGGAGACUGGAAUUUACGGUGUAGCGGUGAAAUGCGUAGAUAUCGUAAGGAAGACCAGUGGCGAAGGCGGGUCUCUGGACAGUUCCUGACGCUGAGGCACGAAGGUCAGGGGGAGCAAAACGGG